GGGGCUCCCUCAUACCUCUACCCAAGCAUACCUCUACCACAGACACCAACAGAGCAAUGGAGGAUUCCAGAGAGCACGAUUCAAAGACAGUUAACCAGAGUCCUCCCUGGGGGCCCCUCCAGCUCUGACAUUCUGAGGGAAGAGCACUUUAUUCCUGAUCACUGUGUGAGAGGAAAGCAAGAGAGCUCCAGCCUGCAGGAGCCCUGGACUCACCCUAUUCAGAGAGUGCCUUGGAAAUAUAAAUGGCACUGCCAGGUGGGGAUGGUGGGCAUCUGCAAGGGGAACACCCCAGAAUGAGGGUGUGCCACCCCAGAUGUCUGGAAGCAAACUACAGUCAGCACCAGGAGUCUAAGCAGAUUUGCGUUACUUAGAAAUGAUUUGAAACCCACACAAACACAUCAAUCAGUAUAAUCUGUUCAGCUGGCAAAUAGAGCCAGGCCUCGAGGAAAUUCCAGAUCAAACAGGUUCAUCAGGAGCUAAACAAUCUGGGAGUUUUGUCUGGAAAUUGCUUGUGCCAGGAAGUUCGGAAAAUGUGGACGCUCAAAAACAGAAGACACAAGGUCACUUAGACUUGAAAACAGCUCCCCGCGAUGCUGCACUACUCCCGGGGAUAACUGUGACUUCAGUCUGAUAUCUCCAGAGUGAAUCCACUGACACCACCUGCUGUUUUUAGGGCUUUGAGGAAGAAUCCAGGCGAUGAUCACUUUUGAUCCUCUGGCCAGAGGUUUCCUGCCUCCCUCCUCUUUGUGACCAUUCCCAUGAUUUAACCCUGGCCGAUAGUUAUGAAGGACAAGAAGAACUACCCUUUAUUGGCCACUUCCUGUGACUGGGCCAUGUGCUGAGCUCUUCGCCCAAUGCCAGACAUGUGUCCUGUCGAUUGGUAUGUGUCUGGAAUCUUCUUCUUUGGGAAACCAGAACAAGGCUGGGCCUGAGUGGUUGUAAAGUCCUCACAAUCAAAUCAUCAGCUAUUUGGGGCAUCUAACAAGCACCAUCAAUUACCAGCACCCAACUCUUCUCCAAACACCAGCACGAGGCACUGCGUGGCUGACAUUCUCUCAACAGUCAUCGUCAAGGGAGCUGAGCUGCCCACAGAGUCCAACUGGGGGAGGCCUCUGUUUCAUCUGGGUGCCGAGCUCUUGGUUUACCACUCACUCUGGGAAACAAACACCCCAUGUUGUCCUUAUCUGUCCAGUUUCUCAUUUGACUGUGAUCUCCUUAAGGACCAGGAUAAUGCCUAUUUACCCCUCUGUCCCGGUGCCGAGCUCUGGCAUGUUGGUCUCAGUGAGUCUUUGUUGCAUCAAGGAGGAGUGAGAUUACAAAUCAUUUUUAUUUGUUCCUUUACAAAGCAGGAGCUCUCUACAGCAAUGCUGCGAUAAACAGGUUGGGCCUCUUCCGUCUCUCACUUGUCUCACUCUAGCUCAGCCCUGCCCACUGUAGUCAGAUAUUGUUUCUCCAGCAACCAUUGCUGGAGCUUAAGGCAAAUCUCGUUCAAUUUUUUAAUAAUAAACAAAUCAAUUGUCCAACAUCACU